GACAAGAAAUACCGAUGCGGGACCCUACGGGUGCCGCGUUCGGGAAUGAGUACGAUUCGACCACCUAACGAGGAACGAUCGGAGGGCAAGUCUGGUGCCAGCAGCCGCGGUAAUUCCAGCUCCAAUAGCGUACGUUAAAGUUGCUGCAGUUAAAAAGCUCGUAGUUGAACGUUCGGGGUUCCGCGGGACGGGGCCGCCCCGCGAGGGACGGCGCCGCCCCCGGGGGCUCGUGAUAUCUUAUCUCGCCGCCCGUCGCGAGGCGGACGGAGGGAUGGAUGAGGUUACCUGGAAAAAAUCGGGGCGAUCUAGGCGGGCGAACCUCGCCAACGAACGAUCGGACAUGGGAUAACGGAAGAGGGCGUCGGCUCGACUUCGUCGGUUCCUCGGGCCGAGGCACGUACGGUGAAUAGGGACGGUCGGGGCCGCCCGUACCGGGUCGUGAGAGGUGAAAUUCUAGGAUCGACCCGAGACGAACUGCCGCGAAAGCAUUCGGCAAGGACGC
rnacentral:rRNA from 1 species